rnacentral:rRNA from 1 species
UACGUAGGUGGCAAGCGUUGUCCGGAAUUAUUGGGCGUAAAGGGCUCGUAGGUGGCCAACUAAGUCAGACGUGAAAUCCCUCGGCUUAACCGGGGAACUGCGUCUGAUACUGGAUGGCUUGAGUUCGGGAGAGGGAUGCGGAAUUCCAGGUGUAGCGGUGAAAUGCGUAGAUAUCUGGAGGAACACCGGUGGCGAAGGCGGCAUCCUGGACCGAUACUGACACUGAGGAGCGAAAGCCAGGGGAGCAAACGGG